rnacentral:rRNA from 1 species
GACGAACGCUGGCGGCAUGCCUAACACAUGCAAGUCGAACGGAGAAAAGGAAGCUUGCUUCUUUUUCUUAGUGGCGGACGGGUGAGUAACGCGUGAGUAACCUGCCUUUCAGAGGGGGAUAACGUUCUGAAAAGAUCGCUAAUACCGCAUGAGACUACGGAGCUGCAUGGCUCAGUGGUCAAAGGAGCAAUCCGCUGAAAGAUGGACUCGCGUCCGAUUAGAUAGUUGGCGGGGUAAUGGCCCACCAAGUCGACGAUCGGUAGCCGGACUGAGAGGUUGAACGGCCACAUUGGGACUGAGACACGGCCCAGACUCCUACGGGAGGCAGCAGUGAGGGAUAUUCGGCAAUGGGGGGAAACCCUGACCGAGCAAUGCCGCGUGAGGGAUGACGGUUUUCGGAUUGUAAACCUCUGUCCUCUGUGAAGAUAAUGACGGUAGCAGAGGAGGAAGCUCCGGCUAACUACGUG